UCCCUGAUAGCUCAGUUGGUAAAGAAUCUGCCUGCAAUGCAGGAGACCCUGGUUCGAUUCCUGGGUUGGAAA
rfam:TPA: Bos taurus chromosome 9, whole genome shotgun sequence.